CACAAAUUUGUCAACAUCACAUCAAAAUAUACAGAAUGGGGAGAGGAAAACAAGCUUUCCUGCUUUUUCCAUCUCCCAGUCAGCUUCUCAACUCAAUUAAUUAGACCAAAUGAAGAAAGUAUUCUCUCUGUGCCCGCUUGGACACCGAAGCUUUGCUGCACCCUAGAACCUGGAAGUACUUCCGUGUGGAAAAACAAUAUCAGCCGUGACCCAGGGACCCCUCAAUGACAACUGGCAAGAGGGUUUCCAGUAAUAUCCU